AAAUGUUCGCAUUAAAAGCUGCAGAUCUGUUUAGACGCUUAUCCUAAACGGAUUACUUUGCACUAUGGGGUUUUAUAAGUUUCCUCACCUCUGUACCUUUAGCGUCUAGAUACGGUGCGCUGAUUGUUUUCACGUUUAGAAAGAAUACAUUUACAAUAUCCAAGAGGCAUGCAAGUUGCAGAUGGAGGGGAGCCUGAGCCAAGCCAAUGCCCCAUGCAGAAUCUUCAAUGAAAAUGGACAACAGCACAGCAACUGUACGAUGUGAACCUGUGGUUCCCUGAUGGUAUCACCCAUUCUGCAUGUCAGCCAUGGUCCCGAGUACUUCCUCAACCUGCUGAUUCUCUAUGUCCCUACCUGGAAGUGAGGUCCUCCGAUUCUGGUCUGCUUGUUAUCCUCAAGCAAAAGUGCACCACACUUGGAGAAUGCUUAUUUAACUUCAUGGCUCUCCCAGAUUUGGUGCAUGAUGCUCCCACCAUCACUCUCUUUAAAUUAGCUCUCAAGAUCCACCUGUUCUCUUUUGCUUUCCAUGCUCUUUAAGUAUGAUAUAUUCUGUUAGCUGCUAUGUUGUUGCUACUGUUUAAUGUAUUAUGUUACUAUGAUGUAUUAAGCACU